GACGGGGGGUCCUAGCGUUGUUCGGAAUCAUUGGGCGUAAAGCGUGUGCAGGUGGCCCUGCAAGUUGGAUGUGAAAGCCCCGGGCUCAACCCGGGAAGUGCAUUCAAAACUGCAGAGCUUGAGUAUGGAAGAGGGUCGUGGAAUUCCAGGUGUAGUGGUGAAAUACGUAGAUAUCUGGAGGAACACCGGCGGCGAAGGCGGCGACCUGGUCCUAUACUGACACUCAUACACGAAAGCGUGGGGAUCAAACAGG
rnacentral:rRNA from 1 species